GCGUUGGUGGUUCAGUGGUAGAGUUUUCGUUUGCCAUGAAGGAGAACUGGGUUCGAUUUCCUGCCAAUGCA
rnacentral:tRNA from 1 species